GGAGAGAUGGCUGAGUGGUUGAAGGCGGCGGUCUUGAAAACCGUUAAGGGUGAAAGCUCUUCGAGGGUUCGAAUCCCUCUCUCUCCGCCA
rnacentral:tRNA from 2 species